rnacentral:rRNA from 1 species
CCUACGGGAGGCAGCAGUGGGGAAUUUUGGACAAUGGGCGCAAGCCUGAUCCAGCAAUGCCGCGUGCAGGAUGAAGGCCUUCGGGUUGUAAACUGCUUUUGUACGGAACGAAAAGUCUUGGGUUAAUACCCUGGGAUCAUGACGGUACCGUAAGAAUAAGCACCGGCUAACUACGUGCCAGCAGCCGCGGUAAUACGUAGGGUGCAAGCGUUAAUCGGAAUUACUGGGCGUAAAGCGUGCGCAGGCGGUUUUGUAAGACAGUGGUGAAAUCCCCGGGCUCAACCUGGGAACUGCCAUUAUGACUGCAAGGCUGGAGUGCGGCAGAGGGGGAUGGAAUUCCGCGUGUAGCAGUGAAAUGCGUAGAUAUGCGGAGGAACACCGAUGGCGAAGGCAAUCCCCUGGGCCUGCACUGACGCUCAUGCACGAAAGCGUGGGGAGCAAACAGGAUUAGAUACCCUGGUAGUCCACGCCCUAAACGAUGUCAACUGGUUGUUGGGAAUUUAUUUUCUCAGUAACGAAGCUAACGCGUGAAGUUGACCGCCUGGGGAGUACGGCCGCAAGGUUAAAACUCAAAUGAAUUGACGG